UGCUUUUCGUCCCUCUCGCUACAGUGUUGUCUUCAACCCCUAGACAGAGCCGACUGUCUCCAGCCCGUGCACAGUUGCCGCCGCCUCCUCCUUCCAAAUCCGGCCUCUCCGUUGCUCCUUUUUCCAAAUUAGUUGUGGGAAUGGAAUCCUCUCAAUCUCCUCUUCCUUUUCCCCAAGAAAUCCCCAAAAUUUCUAUGGAAAUCCUUUCCAAUUUCGCGGAUCAAUCUUUCCUUUUUCCGGCGAAGAUCCUAAACUUUCCCGAGUUUUUCCCGUCGAUUUGGGCCCGAACCCGAGCUCCUGUGCCUAUAUAAAGGACCCCCUCGUCGUCCUCUACCUAUCCCCUCAAGUUCCAUCUUCCGCCGUCGUCGGAAUCGCUCUCCCCGCGCUCUUCUUCUCUCUCCAAGCGCCGGCGCCGCUCCAGCCGCCCCUAGCCGUCGCUUCGGUCGUCGCCGUCGGUCGCCGUCUCCUUCAUCAGCAUCGCGAGGUCGUCGCCGUCCUCGUCCCGUCCUCCGUUUCCGCCGAAGAUCGCCAGAGCGCCGCUGACACUGUCAACCCGAAGCUCGCCGCCGCAUUUUGAUCUCCGGCGAGGCCACUGCUGCUCCUUCCGUCGUCGCCAAGCUUUGCCGUCGCCUCCAUUGGAUUCGCAGCUGCGAAGUGAAGCCCGGCCACCCCUCCGUUGUUGCCGCACAUCGCCGGAAAGUCGUCGCCGCCGUGGACAGUACCUCGCCGCCCUUCGAAGCUCGUCGCCGGCCAUCUUCCGUCGCUGUCCGUCAUCGCGUAAGUGUUGCGUUGUCAUCUCCGUGUGUUGUAGCCGGACCGUCAUUGUCGACCCUUUCUCUCUGAUCGCUUUGGUUCGCUUGUCGUUUCGAAGGAUCGUGAGUGCGUCGGAAGUGUUCAAGAAGAUUAAUUGAAG